GUGAAAACUGAACCAGCAGCCAGUGAAGAAAUGAUAACACAGGAGUAAAACAAUAUACUCCUUUUUUUUUUCUUCUGCCAGUCAGUAGCCUGGCUGCAGCAUUCUGCCCAAGCCUUAGGCGGGACAGUUGCCGCUGACAGAGUCCUGGAUAGAGAGAGUUGCAAUUGUCCAAUCUAGAUGUAAUAAAAGCAUGAAUAAUUAACUCUAAAUUUUUAAAACUAAGCAAAGCUUUUAGCUUAGAAAUCAUCCCAAGCUGGUAGAAGCUGCCUUUAACAACAGAAUUUAUCUGUCUAUCAAAGCUAAGAGUUGAGUCAAUUAUAAAACCAAGAUUUCUCACACUGUCUUUCACAGUUAUUUCUAAAGGAGUGAGAAUACUGGUUAUCUUCUCUGUGUGUUUUGGGGGAACAAAUAUAAUAAUCUCUGACUUUCUUUCGAAAGUAAAGUAAACGUAGAUUGUGUAAGCAGAUUGUAUCAGUGCAUCUUCUAGUUACAUUCAGCACUUGAAGCCAUCUGCCCUCUAUCUCCAGAUCUUUCUUUCACUAUGUUUAUGCUGCCAGUAUUUCAGGGAAAAAAUGUUAUAUUCUUAAGUGAAAACUCC